AGCCACGGCUAACUACGUGCCAGCAGCCGCGGUAAUACGUAGGUGGCAAGCGUUAUCCGGAAUUAUUGGGCGUAAAGAGGGAGCAGGCGGCAGCAAGGGUCUGUGGUGAAAGCCUGAAGCUUAACUUCAGUAAGCCAUAGAAACCAGGCAGCUAGAGUGCAGGAGAGGAUCGUGGAAUUCCAUGUGUAGCGGUGAAAUGCGUAGAUAUAUGGAGGAACACCAGUGGCGAAGGCGACGAUCUGGCCUGCAACUGACGCUCAGUCCCGAAAGCGUGGGGAGCAAAUAGGAUUAGAUACCCUAGUAGUCCACGCCGUAAACGAUGAGUACUAAGUGUUGGAUGUCAAAGUUCAGUGCUGCAGUUAACGCAAUAAGUACUCCGCCUGAGUAGUACGUUCGCAAGAAUGAAACUCAAAGGAAUUGACGGGGGCCCGCACAAGCGGUGGAGCAUGUGGUUUAAUUCGAAGCAACGCGAAGAACCUUACCAGGUCUUGACAUACUCAUAAAGGCUCCAGAGAUGGAGAGAUAGCUAUAUGAGAUACAGGUGGUGCAUGGUUGUCGUCAGCUCGUGUCGUGAGAUGUUGGGUUAAGUCCCGCAACGAGCGCAACCCUUAUCGUUAGUUACCAUCAUUAAGUUGGGGACUCUAGCGAGACUGCCAGUGACAAGCUGGAGGAAGGCGGGGAUGACGUCAAAUCAUCAUGCCCCUUAUGACCUGGGCUACACACGUGCUACAAUGGAUGGUGCAGAGGGAAGCGAAGCCGCGAGGUGAAGCAAAACCCAUAAAACCAUUCUCAGUUCGGAUUGUAGUCUGCAACUCGACUACAUGAAGUUGGAAUCGCUAGUAAUCGCGAAUCAGCAUGUCGCGGUGAAUACGUUCUCGGGCCUUGUACACACCGCCCGUCACACCACGAGAGUUGAUAACACCCGAAGCCGGUGGCCUAACCGCAAGGAAGGAGCUGUCUAAGGUGGGAUUGAUGAUUGGGGUGAAGUCGUAACAAGGUAUCCCUACGGGAACGUGGGGAUG
rnacentral:rRNA from 1 species